GUGCUUACACAUGCAGUCGAACGAUGAAGCCAGCUUGCUGGUGGAUUAGUGGCGAACGGGUGAGUAACACGUGAGUAACCUGCCCUUGACUCUGGGAUAAGCCUGGGAAACCGGGUCUAAUACUGGAUACGACCUUCCCACGCAUGUGGUGUUGGUGGAAAGCUUUUGUGGUUUUGGAUGGACUCGCGGCCUAUCAGCUUGUUGGUGGGGUAAUGGCCUACCAAGGCGACGACGGGUAGCCGGCCUGAGAGGGUGACCGGCCACACUGGGACUGAGACACGGCCCAGACUCCUACGGGAGGCAGCAGUGGGGAAUAUUGCACAAUGGGCGCAAGCCUGAUGCAGCGACGCCGCGUGAGGGAUGAAGGCCUUCGGGUUGUAAACCUCUUUCAGUAGGGAAGAAGCUGGCCCUUUGGGUUGGUGACGGUACCUGCAGAAGAAGCGCCGGCUAACUACGUGCCA
rnacentral:rRNA from 1 species